rnacentral:misc_RNA from 1 species
GAUGAAGAACGCAGCGAAAUGCGAUAAGUAAUGUGAAUUGCAGAAUUCAGAGAAUCAUCGAAUCUUUGAACGCACCUUGCGCCCUUUGGCCAUUCCGAAGGGCAUGCCUGUUUGAGUAUCAUGAACACCUCAACUCUUUAUGGUUUUCCAUGAUGAGCUUGGACUCUGGGGGUUUUGCUGGCUCACAGUCGGCUCCUCUGAAAUGAAUCAGCUUACCAGUGUUUGGUGGGUAUCAUAGGUGUGAUAACUAUCUACGCUUGUGGUUUUUCCACCAGGUAACCUUCAGCAGUGGAGGUUCGCUGGAGCUCAUAGAUGUCUCUCCUCAGUGAGGACAGCCCUUUGAAUGUUUGAUCUCAAAUCAGGUAGGACUACCCGCUGAACUUAAGCAUAUCAAUAAGCGGAGGA